GAUGAACGCUGGCGGCGCGCUUAACACAUGCAAGUCGAACGGUGAAAGUGGGAGCUUGCUCCUGCUGGAUCAGUGGCGAACGGGUGAGUAACACGUGAGUAACCUGCCCUUGACUCUGGGAUAAGCGUUGGAAACGACGUCUAAUACCGGAUACGAGCUUCAGCCGCAUGGCUAGGAGCUAGGGAAAAGUAAUUUUCCGG
rnacentral:rRNA from 1 species